AUUGAACGCUGGCGGCAGGCCUAACACAUGCAAGUCGAGCGGAUGACGGGAGCUUGCUCCUUGAUUCAGCGGCGGACGGGUGAGUAAUGCCUAGGAAUCUGCCUGGUAGUGGGGGACAACGUUUCGAAAGGAACGCUAAUACCGCAUACGUCCUACGGGAGAAAGCAGGGGACCUUCGGGCCUUGCGCUAUCAGAUGAGCCUAGGUCGGAUUAGCUAGUAGGUGAGGUAAUGGCUCACCUAGGCGACGAUCCGUAACUGGUCUGAGAGGAUGAUCGGUCAAAUUGGAACUGAGACACGGACCAGACUCCUACGGGAGGCAACAGUGGGAAAUAUUGGACAAUGGGCGAAAGCCUGAUCCAGCCAUGCCGCGUGUGUGAAGAAGGUCUUCGGAUUGUAAAGCACUUUAAGUUGGGAGGAAGGGCAGUAAGUUAAUACCUUGCUGUUUUGACGUUACCGACAGAAUAAGCACCGGCUAACUCUGUGCCAGCCGCCGCCGUAAUAC
rnacentral:rRNA from 1 species